AGACAGUGUCCGGACUUUUGAUA
rnacentral:siRNA from 1 species